rnacentral:rRNA from 1 species
ACCAGACUCCUACGGGAGGCAGCAGUGGGGAAUAUUGCACAAUGGGGGGAACCCUGAUGCAGCAAUGCCGCGUGAAGGAUGAAGGUUUUCGGAUUGUAAACUUCUUUUCUCAGGGACGAAGCAAGUGACGGUACCUGAGGAAUAAGCCACGGCUAACUACGUGCCAGCAGCCGCGGUAAUACGUAGGUGGCGAGCGUUAUCCGGAUUUACUGGGUGUAAAGGGCGUGUAGGCGGGAAAGCAAGUCAGAUGUGAAAACCAUGGGCUCAACCUGUGGCCCGCAUUUGAAACUGUUUUUCUUGAGUACUGGAGAGGCAGACGGAAUUCCUAGUGUAGCGGUGAAAUGCGUAGAUAUUAGGAGGAACACCAGUGGCGAAGGCGGUCUGCUGGACAGCAACUGACGCUGAGGCGCGAAAGCGUGGGGAGCAAACAGGAUUAGAUACCCCCGUAC